GCUUCUGUAGCGCAGUGGCUAGCGCUUUUGCCUUCGGGCAGACUACUCCAGGGUUCGAACCCGCCUGAGGUC